GAUGAACGCUGGCGGAAUGCUUUACACAUGCAAGUCGAACGGCAGCACGGGGGCAACCCUGGUGGCGAGUGGCGAACGGGUGAGUAAUACAUCGGAACGUGCCCAGUCGUGGGGGAUAACGUAGUGAAAAUUACGCUAAUACCGCAUACGAUCUAUGGAUGAAAGCGGGGGAUCGCAAGACCUCGCGCGAUUGGAGCGGCCGAUAUCAGAUUAGGUAGUUGGUGGGGUAAAGGCCCACCAAGCCAACGAUCUGUAGCUGGUCUGAGAGGACGACCAGCCACACUGGAACUGAGACACGGUCCAGACUCCUACGGGAGGCAGCAGUGGGGAAUUUUGGACAAUGGGCGAAAGCCUGAUCCAGCCAUUCCGCGUGCAGGAUGAAGGCCCUCGGGUUGUAAACUGCUUUUGUACAGAACGAAAAGGUUUCUACUAAUACUAGGAGCUCAUGACGGUACUGUAAGAAUAAGCACCGGCUAACUACGUGCCAGCCGCCGCGGUAA
rnacentral:rRNA from 1 species